UGGUGAAUAUCCAUCUAAGUCAAAUACAGAUUCCAUUUCUCUUUUAAUACAAAUCAAAUAAGAAAACUGAAGCUUGCAAGCUCGCUUGUACUAAGUUUCUGAAAGUUUUUAUUCUCGACUAAAUAAUGUCCAAGAUGGAAGCAAGACAUAAGCUCCAUUGUUGAUAGAAUGGAGCUUAUGUUGGCUUUUGUUUUUGUUUCAAAAUGGUUUUUAACUUAUGUGUGAUUGCUUAGCCAAAUGUGGACUCUGAAGAUGGUUUUCAGUUUUAGAUAUGAAUGUCCUUGUUACUAUUGUUACACAGUCACACAGAGUUUACAAAAGAUCAUUCAUCAUU
rnacentral:sRNA from 1 species